rnacentral:rRNA from 1 species
AGAGUUUGAUCAUGGCUCAGAUUGAACGCUGGCGGUUGGCUUAACACAUGCAAGUCGUGCGAGAAAGUAUCUUCGGAUAUGAGUAGAGCGGCGGACGGGUGAGUAACGCGUAUGAAUCUACCUAGUGGAAAGGGAUAGCCCGGGGAAACCCGGAUUAAUACCGUAUACCUCCUUCGGGAGAAAGAAGGCCUCUCUUUGAAGCUUUCGCUAUUAGAUGAGCCUGCGUAAGAUUAGCUUGUUGGUGAGGUAAAGGCUCACCAAGGCUACCAUCUUUGAUUGGUCUGAGAGGACGAUCAGCCACAUUGGGACUGAGACACGGCCCAGACUCCUACGGGAGGCAGCAGUGGGGAAUAUUGGAC